UGACCUGCUGGGAGUGUUCUCUGAUGAGGU
rnacentral:piRNA from 1 species